rnacentral:rRNA from 1 species
UACGUAGGGUGCAAGCGUUAAUCGGAAUUACUGGGCGUAAAGCGUGCGCAGGCGGUUAUGUAAGACAGAUGUGAAAUCCCCGGGCUCAACCUGGGAACUGCAUUUGUGACUGCAUAGCUAGAGUACGGUAGAGGGGAUGGAAUUCCGCGUGUAGCAGUGAAAUGCGUAGAUAUGCGGAGGAACACCGAUGGCGAAGGCAAUCCCCUGGACCUGUACUGACGCUCAUGCACGAAAGGCGUGGGGAGCAAACAGG